rfam:Ornithorhynchus anatinus chromosome 2, whole genome shotgun sequence.
CCUCUCUCAGGAUCACACCUGGAGAGUUUCCAGUAUUCUACCAGUCUCGGCUACGGAAGGCAGAGUCAAGCAGAGGCCCACCCAUUCCAUUUCUAGCUUGGGCAGUGGCUAUCGAGUGGAAGGAAAUCUGUUACACAU